GUCUCCUACAGUGAUGGCAUUAUACACGUCUGUCCUCAGAAUAAUUCUAAACUUUGGCUACUGUUGAAGGAGAUACUGGGUAUUGUGAUGGGCCACCAGUGUGAGGCCAGUGCCAAGACACCUCUUUGGGAAAUGAUGUAAUCUGUGUGCUUGCAACCAGUUCUCUGGAGGUGUUGAGUGAAGACUGAGUCGAUUGUAGCUGAACAAAGGGAAGAUGAAAGAGACUGUGAAAGGUGCUGUACUGUUGUGCCUGAUCCACUGCCCUCUCUGAGUUCCAGAAACUGGAUGUAUGAACUUGCAGUAAACAUUUUAAGUGAUUACAGCCCUGGAAAGAAGAGUGAGCUACAUAUGAAAAGGCAUUAAAGUUGGUUUAUGUGAUGCAUACCUUCGUGAUUACACUUCCCAUGGGAAUACAUCAGAAGACAAGGCACAUUAUUAAGGUAACUGUUACAUCGAUGAAGCCCUGCUUUGUAGAGCAUUGGUUUGGGAAGUCUCACCUGAUCUAUCUGAAACAGUCAUUGCAAGGAACCAUGUGACAAACUCCUGUUGCCACCCAAACAGCCACCAACCACCCCGUGAAAGAGAUUUGAUUCCAGCAUAUAAAUUCCUGUACAAGCAAGUCUCGACAUAACAAAGCCCUUCAUCAAGAUGAAGCUGCUUCAUGAGCUUGAAUUAUUACACUCUCAGCCCUGCUGUGAAAUCAACAUGAAGAACAGGACAGUGUAGCACAUCUGUGGAGAAUCUGCAUCUCUGCAUGACUUCACACAUCACAGCACCUCCUGAGAUACUAUUACUCUCCUGCCAAUAUCAAUACACCACGAGGAGGUUUCCCAGCGAGCUGUGGUGCACUGGUCAGACCUUUGGUCAGGUCCAGAACUGCGCUGAUGUUUUUUUGCUGACCAGUCUGUCAGACAAUGUCUGUGUCUGUGGCACCUCUGUGACACCAAGCCAACAGUGCUGACCACACCUCAUGUCUCACAAAGCCUUCACUGUGCUGAAGACCCUUGAAUGUUGAUGAUUUUCUUUGGGUGCUGAUGAUUAUUUUUGCCUCUUGCCAGCUUUUUUU